GGACAAAAAUUGCCACUGUGUCGCCCUUUUUGAUAGUGUACCCUCUUGCACAUCGAUCCACUAACUGGCUCUAUCACCUUUUGUUCUUUUGCUGAAGGAGAGCACGCAUUUUGCAGACUGGAGUUUUCUUUAAAGCCUGAUGGGGACAGACAACCAGGAUGUCCUUGGGUUCACCCUCAUCCAGACUAUGCGUGCCUCUGCCCUGCCACACAGAGAGCCCUAAAUGUAAAACUACAGCUAUACAUUCUCAAUACACACCAGACCGUUUUCCCCCUAAGUCUGACAUUUUCACUGCAGUUUGCUUUAACACAGGAAGAAGCAGACUCAAAGUGAUACGUUUCCCAGAGUUUAUAAAUAUCACACCAUUUACUGAGGCACAUAAAAGAUCAUUCCUGCAUGAAAAUGAUGCAAUUACUUUUAGCCUCUUACUGAGCUAAGACUGGACUCCAAACCAAACUGAAACAGAAUGCUACUAGCAUUAGGGCUGUGUUUGAUGGCUAUUUAUAAUAAUUGGUUGAUUAUUUUUUGCAAAUAACCAACUCAGAAAAAAGAAAAAUCCUGGUCUUGCUAUAGCAUCACAGUAUAUUAAAGAAAACUAACAUUUCAAUCCCUCUGGACCUUCAUCAAAGGAAUUUUCAAUAAUAAACACAACUGUGGUCUUAAAUACAUUCUGUUUCUCCCAUUCUGUGUCCCCAGCUGUGGGACAAAUGACAAUCAUUUAUCAAUGGGAGUGUCUCUCAAUAACAAGAGCAGAGUGUAGGAUUUUCCUUUUUUCCAAUUUUGUGAUAUGUUCCAACGCCCUAGCACAGAAGAAUUGUUGGAUGUGCCAAUUUCUUCAAAUUAUCAGCUUAAAUAUGCAGUGCACAGAUCAUAUUGAGCAGAGAUAACUAAGGAUGGUAAGUUUCUGUAUGGGCGGGGCGGGGUCAUUUGAACUGUUGUUUGCUGAAGCGAUGCAAAGG